rnacentral:lncRNA from 1 species
CGGUACAAUUUUUUUUUUUUUGAGAAAGCUGGAAGCUAACAGAGAGCCCUAUUAGCCACCAGAAUUUUAUUUAUCAAAAGUAAAUGUACGGUAUAACAAAAGCAAGAGUAGCCAAGAAAUGUACAAUAACUAAAAAACAAGAAUAGCUAAUGUCAAAAAAGGGACAACAUCCAAUAGGAAUAGGCAAAGAGACUCCCUUGGCACUGUUGCAGCAAGAGAUCACAGACUCACAAGCUACAAAGAUUCUUUAUUACUGUCUUAAAAGGUAUAUCGUAGGCGACCAGAAAAGGAAUCAGACUACUAGGCAGCAUCCAAAGACCAUCUAGCUAAGACCGAAAGACACGGACAAGAUCAGAGGCAGUAUCCAGAAGAAGUUUUUCUACCAAGCAAAGUGCCUUAGUCUUGGGGGUUCGGAGUUCUGAAGGAACAAACAGCCUUUAGCUUUGUCCAAAAACUCAUAAGACCGGACA